GUUAUACUUUUAGAGUUAUAUAUAUUUGUGUCUACACAGUGGUAUUGUUCUGUUUGUUUCUAAGCUUUAUAAAAUUGGAAUCAUGCCUAAUCAUACUAAGAUUCAGUCAUGCUUUCUGUGUCUACUGUGCAUUCAUUUCCGUUGCUGUAUAGUAUUUCAUCAUCAAAUGUACCAGAAUUUAUUCAUCGAUUCUCCUAUAGGUAUUUGGGUUUCCAAUCUUUUGCUUUUACAAACAAUACUGCUACAACAAUGCAGCCUGUGUCUCCUGGUGCAUAGUGAAGGGGUUUCUCUAGGAAUAGGAUUUGCAAAUGACAAACUAUUAAGAGAAUAUUGAAGUAUUUUCAAAAGUAGAUGAAUCCAGCAAUGUAUAAAGAUUCACAUUAAUCUGUAUUCACUACAACAUUUAGGGUUCAUCCACUUUUAUUUUGUCAUCAGUUUGCUUAUAAUGAUAUGGUCUCAUCUUUCACUUUUUCAGCUGUUACUUUUUCUGCUUUUAUUUGUUUUCUCAAAAUAGUUUCCAGUCCUUGGUUAUCUCUAGCUUUUUCACUUUUUACCUAAACAAUAAUUGCACUUUUAUGACUUAAUUCACUAAAAGCAGUAUACAUAGUGGUUAGGGUUUUCCACCCUUGAACAAACUGGAGUUCUAAUUAUAUCCUACCUAUUUGUAC
rnacentral:lncRNA from 1 species